ACCAGUGAAGGUAUCGAGUAUGAUCAUAAAAAUAUGGAAUAAGGACAUAAACCACGAUUGAUUUUGGGAAGUUUUUUUUUCUACUUAAUUACAUUGUUUCAAGUGAUACUUACGUAUAAAAGAAUGUAUAAUUGUAUAUACAACAGUUCACUGUUUCAAAGUGAUUACUUUUUUUGUAUACGCAGAACUGUUCUUAAAAGCAGAACUGUUCCCAAAAAUAGAUUUUCAGUCAUCUAAUUUAUUUCGUCGCGCAAUCCAAACUUUAGUAAGGUGAUUAUUAUCUAUUUUUGUGACACAUGCUUUAUAUGCGGGAUUUAAGUUAAAGUCAUAUUGAUAUGUUUCAAGUAAUUUUGUUGGUGGAACUAUAAUAUAAUAUAGUGUUAAAGCCUUCGAGACAGUUAUUUUACGCUCAUCAAAUGGAGUAAAUUCAACCCAUUACAAGAUGGAAAAAUGUAAACAGCAACCCCGAAGCAAGCGAGAGACGAAGAGAAUGAUACUUAUGUACCAACGCCUAGUGCCCAAAGCAAGACAGCUGUUGUCUUAUGUAAGUCACAGGAGCUGCCCAAAAUGGUGACAAGUGGCAAUGACAAACAAGUCAUACUGCAUGCACCUAAAGAUGAUCUAAUUAUUUCUGGUACCUAUAGCAUGGGGAUGCGUCGCUCAUAUGCUAAAUAUAUAGUGGAAUAUGGCGAUAAACUUUUAGCAUUUGAGGAUGCUUAGCACAUAUUGCCAGCUACAAUGACAGAAGAAGUAAUAGAAAUAAUCAUUAUUGGAUAAGUUGGAUAUUCAUUUUAUUUUGGUGACUUCGGACGGUGCCUUGAAUGUGAUGUGAGAAACACAUUGUGUAACUUAGUGAAAUUCAUUGCUCGUUCUUUUCUUUGCUGCAAUGUUCUCAAUGACGAUGUCUUGAUACAUUCUAACCGAAUCUGAAACUGUUGGAUGGAAAUGAGAUACGGGAUUAUUACAAUAAGGUUUAGAAGUGAUAAAUUACAAAUCUCAGUAUCAAAUCACGUAAUAAGGUAUAUUACUGAUCCAUUCAGUUCAUGAGUAGGAAAUAAUUUUGAAAGAGAUGGAUUAUUUCAACCAAACUGCGCUUUUCUUGCUUUCAUUUCAAAUUGUUUUAAGAAUGUGAAAAUAGUAAAAUUGAUUUAAUGAAUUCCGUAGAUUUUGGAACACAGAACAGUAAAAAGCUUCAUUGUCAUACAUGUUUACCGUUUCCAAGAACAACAGAAUGGUAAUUAAAAAUGUACCGGAAUCAUAAACUCCCAUUUGAAAACAAUACAUUUAGUAGUCAUGUAAUGUUUUUAUGCAAGAAUACCUUCGGUCUCGGUCACAAACAUUCCCGCGGGCUUCUACAGACGUUAAUACGCAAAAAACAUGUAUUAUCUCUACAUUCAAAUAAAAAAACAUGAAAGGAUUUACUACUUUUUCUACAACUGUUCUACCGAUCUAAUACAGAAACUUAAAUUACGAAAACCGAAAAGUCAUCAUGAUUGUUUGGUAAAUUGGUUCUAAGUAUGAAAGUGUGUACUUAUAACACGUUUGUAAAAAGGGAGAUUUAAGAGGGUUUCAUCAAUUUUAAUCGUUUUAUUAAUGUUAUUAGGUGAUGCUUGAAAAUAUGUAUUAGUCCUGGCAUAAUAUAUUGUUCAAGUUGCAGAAUUAAAAUAGAUUAAAGUCGGUAGAAAAAAAUUAUUAUAUUAUCAAAAACUGAGUUCUUUGAAUUGUGGCUAAACAAAGUGUUGAAGUUGGUACCAUUUCGCCUGUACAGCAACGUUUAACAGAAACUAUUUCAUUACAUAUUUCUAUAUUAAUUAUUAUUUUUUUAAUUAAAAUUAAAUGGUCCAAGUUUUAGUACAUUUUGAAGCUGAUUAUAAAUUUUCGAAUCUUAUUUGAUCAACUGGGUAAAAACGUUUCAUGUUUUAUUCGGUUUGUCAUUUUUGAAGAAAAUGGCAAUAAAAUUAGGUUGAAUGUAAUAACAACCGUGCUUUUGUUGUCGUUGGAACAUACAUUUUCUAACAAUGAAAAAUGAAUGAAGUUCAAAUUCGAAAUACUAAAUACUACAUGUAGAUUUAUACCAUUCUGUCUUAAAUUUAAAGAUUUCUUUUCUUUGUUUAUCCCGAUUAAAAUAAAACUCGGUAAAACUUUUAAUCCAAGUAUUGUGCGCAUCUAAGGUCAAUUCCAAAGAGGUCUUAAGUGUUCCAGAUUCUGCACUUCUUCCAGUUAAUACAUUUGUUGCUUAUAUCUCGAUUUCAUUUAAGCAUGUUUAUAAUUAUUUUGUUUCAAUAUUGAAGUUCGCUUUGCACUGUGUUCAUCCAUCUACUUUCAGAAUAAAAGUCAAAGCGUC